UACGAAGGGGGCUAGCGUUGCUCGGAAUUACUGGGCGUAAAGCGCGCGCAGGUGGUCUGUUAAGUUGGGGGUGAAAGCCCGGAGCUCAACUCCGGAAUUGCCUUCAAAACUGGCAGGCUAGAGUUCGGAAGAGGAGAGUGGAAUUCCCAGUGUAGAGGUGAAAUUCGUAGAUAUUGGGAAGAACACCAGUGGCGAAGGCGGCUCUCUGGUCCGACACUGACACUGAGGCGCGAAAGCGUGGGGAGCAAACAGG
rnacentral:rRNA from 1 species